rnacentral:rRNA from 1 species
GGCGCACGGGGGCUACGGGAGGCAGCAGUUAGGACUCUUCCACAAUGGCGAAAGCCUGAUGGACGACGCCGCGUGAGGGAUGAAGGUUUUCGGAUCGUAAACCUCUGAAUCAGGGACGAAAGACACUUCGGUGGGAUGACGGUACCUGAGUAAUACGUCGCUACACG